GAUGAACGCUGGCGGCGUGCCUAAUACAUGCAAGUCGAGCGAACAGACGAGGAUCUUGCUCCUCUGACGUUAGCGGCGGACGGGUGAGUAACACGUGGAUAACCUACCUAUAAGACUGGGAUAACUUCGGGAAACCGGAUCUAAUACCGGAUAAUAUAUUGAACCGCAUGGUUCAAUAGUGGAAGCCGUUUUUGCUGUCACUUAUAGAUGGAUCCACGCCGCAUUAGCUAGUUGGUAAGGUAACGGCUUACCAAGGCAACGAUGCGUAGCUGACCUGAGAGGAUGAUCAGCCACACUGGAACUGAGACACGGUCCAGACUCCUACGGGAGGCAGCAGUAGGGAAUAUUCCGCAAAGGGCGAAAGCCUGACGGAGCAACGCCGCGUGAGUGAUGAAGGUCUUCGGAUCGUAAAACUCUGUUAUUAGGGAAGAACAGAUGUGUAAGUAACUAUGCACGUCUUGACGGUACCUAAACAGAAAGCCACGGCUAACUACGUG
rnacentral:rRNA from 1 species